rnacentral:tRNA from 1 species
GCCCUGCUGGCUCAGUCAGUGGAGCAUGGGACUUUUGAUCUCAGGGCCCUGAGUUCAAGUCCCAUGCUGGGCA